CAGCCGCCGCGGGAAUACGGAGGGUGCAAGCGUUAAUCGGAAUUACUGGGCGUAAAGCGCACGCAGGCGGUUUGUUAAGUCUGCUGUGAAAUCCCCGGGCUCAACCUGGGAAUGGCAGUGGAUACUGGCAAGCUAGAGUGUGUCAGAGGAUGGUGGAAUUCCCGGUGUAGCGGUGAAAUGCGUAGAGAUCGGGAGGAACAUCAGUGGCGAAGGCGGCCAUCUGGGACAACACUGACGCUGAGGCACGAAAGCGUGGGGAGCAAACAGGAUUAGAUACCCGAGUAGUCCCUGUCUCUUAUAC
rnacentral:rRNA from 1 species